GACGAACGCUGGCGGCGUGCUUAACACAUGCAAGUCGAGCGGAGCGGCGAACGGGUGAGUAACUCGUGAGUAACUGCCCCCCUCUCUGGGAUAACAGUUGGAAACGGCUGCUAAUACCGGAUAGUGGGGGAUGACUCGGGGCCUAUCAGCUUGCUGGUGGGGUAGUGGCCUACCAAGGCGACGACGGGCAGCCGGCCUGAGAGGGCGACCGGCCCCAUGUGUCUGAGAUACGGGCCAAACUCCAACGGGGGGCAGUGGGGGGGAAUAUUGCACAAUGGUGGAAACUGUGAUGCAGCAGCGCCCCGUGCGUGAUGACGUCCUGCGGGUUGUAAACCGCUUUCGGCUAUUACGCGGUAGUGGCAGAAGAAGCACCGGCUAACUACGGGCCAGCAGCCGCGGUAAUUC
rnacentral:rRNA from 1 species